UACUGCUUGAGCCUCGUGAGGGGGUGUUGAUGCAAAAGCAGAAGUUAGAGGGCCAAUAUCAUUGCCCAGCACGACUUCGGAGGGUAACUCUUUCAUCACGCCCACUUGAACAUUGCCAGCUCCAGUACCCCAGUCCAGAUGCACAUGCGCAGCAGGAAUCCAAUACACUGCCCCCCCUGCCACUCUCACAGCAAUAGAUUUCCCCGGUCUUUCCGAAUUAUCGAUGAGAUGUCGUUGCACUAGGGUGAUGGUAGCGCCACUGUCUCUUAAGCCCCGUGCUGUCUUUCCGUUGACCAUUACCAGCUGACAAUGGUGUUUCCGAUUGUCCGUUAUGGUGGAUUGGACUAGGA